UCGAACGGUAACAGGAAGCAGCUUGCUGCUUUGCUGACGAGUGGCGGACGGGUGAGUAAUGUCUGGGAAACUGCCUGAUGGAGGGGGAUAACUACUGGAAACGGUGGCUAAUACCGCAUAACGUCGCAAGACCAAAGAGGGGGACCUUCGGGCCUCUUGCCAUCAGAUGUGCCCAGAUGGGAUUAGCUUGUUGGUGAGGUAACGGCUCACCAAGGCGACGAUCCCUAGCUGGUCUGAGAGGAUGACCAGCCACACUGGAACUGAGACACGGUCCAGACUCCUACGGGAGGCAGCAGUGGGGAAUAUUGCACAAUGGGCGCAAGCCUGAUGCAGCCAUGCCGCGUGUAUGAAGAAGGCCUUCGGGUUGUAAAGUACUUUCAGCGGGGAGGAAGGUGUUGUGGUUAAUAACCGCAGCAAUUGACGUUACCCGCAGAAGAAGCACCGGCUAACUCCGUGCCAGCAGCCGCGGUAAUACGGAGGGUGCAAGCGUUAAUCGGAAUUACUGGGCGUAAAGCGCACGCAGGCGGUCUGUCAAGUCGGAUGUGAAAUCCCCGGGCUCAACCUGGGAACUGCAUUCGAAACUGGCAGGCUUGAGUCUUGUAGAGGGGGGUAGAAUUCCAGGUGUAGCGGUGAAAUGCGUAGAGAUCUGGAGGAAUACCGGUGGCGAAGGCGGCCCCCUGGACAAAGACUGACGCUCAGGUGCGAAAGCGUGGGGAGCAAACAGGAUUAGAUACCCUGGUAGUCCACGCCGUAAACGAUGUCUACUUGGAGGUUGUGCCCUUGAGGCGUGGCUUCCGGAGCUAACGCGUUAAGUAGACCGCCUGGGGAGUACGGCCGCAAGGUUAAAACUCAAAUGAAUUGACGGGGGCCCGCACAAGCGGUGGAGCAUGUGGUUUAAUUCGAUGCAACGCGAAGAACCUUACCUGGUCUUGACAUCCACAGAACUUUCCAGAGAUGGAUUGGUGCCUUCGGGAACUGUGAGACAGGUGCUGCAUGGCUGUCGUCAGCUCGUGUUGUGAAAUGUUGGGUUAAGUCCCGCAACGAGCGCAACCCUUAUCCUUUGUUGCCAGCGGUCCGGCCGGGAACUCAAAGGAGACUGCCAGUGAUAAACUGGAGGAAGGUGGGGAUGACGUCAAGUCAUCAUGGCCCUUACGACCAGGGCUACACACGUGCUACAAUGGCGCAUACAAAGAGAAGCGACCUCGCGAGAGCAAGCGGACCUCAUAAAGUGCGUCGUAGUCCGGAUUGGAGUCUGCAACUCGACUCCAUGAAGUCGGAAUCGCUAGUAAUCGUGGAUCAGAAUGCCACGGUGAAUACGUUCCCGGGCCUUGUACACACCGCCCGUCACACCAUGGGAGUGGGUUGCAAAAGAAGUAGGUAGCUUAACCUUCGGGAGGGCGCUUACCACUUUGUGAUUCAUGACUGGGGUGAAGUCGUAACAAGGUAACCGUAGGGGAACCUGCGGUUGGA
rnacentral:rRNA from 1 species